ACGCUCGACACCUACGGGAGGCAGCAGUUGGGAAUAUUGGACAAUGGGGGAAACCCGUGAUGCAGCGACGCCGCGUGGAGGAAGAAGGUCUUCGGAUUGUAAACUCCUGUUGUUGGGGAAAAAGAGGAUGGUACCCAACAAGGAAGUGACGGCUAACUACGUGCUAGCAGCCGCGGUAAUCUGAGCGGGCUGGCAAGGC
rnacentral:rRNA from 1 species